rnacentral:rRNA from 1 species
UACGUAGGGGGCAAGCGUUGUCCGGAAUCAUUGGGCGUAAAGAGCUCGUAGGCGGCCGGUUGCGUCUGCUGUGAAAUCCCGGGGCUUAACCCCGGGCGUGCAGUGGAUACGGGCUGGCUGGAGGCAGGCAGGGGAGAAUGGAAUUCCCGGUGUAGCGGUGAAAUGCGCAGAUAUCGGGAGGAACACCGGUGGCGAAGGCGGUUCUCUGGGCCUGUGCUGACGCUGAGGAGCGAAAGCGUGGGGAGCGAACAGG